GUUCCUGUUUUGGAGUCGAGAUAUUUGUUUGUGUUUUGAAGUGAAGUUUUUGUCAGUGUAUGUACUUACACCUACCAAAAACAAAAUUAUACAAAUUAUAAUAAACAAUUAAAACGCUGCGUCCUAGUUUGGCUGUAGUUUGUUUACCUUGAAUAUUUCCAUAAUGGCUUUUGAGUGCCAUAUAAUAUGUAAAAAGUCUUUUGGAAAGAAAUCCAAUUUGAAAAGACACCUUGCAGAAGUUCAUAAACUAAAUAAGCCUUCUAGUAGUGAUAGUAAUAGAAAACUGGGAAACAAUUGCUGCUUGGAACAAGGAAAUGAUGACAGUCUUUGUGGCAUUAUUUUUUCAAACAUGAUAAAAUCUCUAAUUGAGCAUUUACAGAUCACUCAUAAUAAGAGCCUUAAUAUCGAGUUAAAUCAGAUGGAAAACAUGCAAGGUUAUACACCACUUUUCAAUGAGUGCAGAAAAAGACUGCAAAAAAGUCAAGGGUCAUGUAAAUUAGAGCACAACUGCACCAGUUUUAUUAAUGUGAAAAAUGAAAGUGGUGCCUUACUGGUUGAAUGGCAAAAAGAACAUUACGGCCACACAAACGAUUUGGAGCAUAUAAGAAUUCCUUCACAUGAAAAAGAAAGUAUUGCCUCCAAACUCAUAAGUGGAGUUCCUCCCCAAAGAUGAUGCAUUCUCAGUUGAGUUAUGGGUCAGAGAAUGUGAAGCCUGGGAUGUAAAUCCCGUUUUAUUUUAUAAGCGACAAGGGCAAGAACAUGCCAUUUUAAAGAAAGAAGAUUUUUGUCUUGUGAUUAUGAACAACUUUCAAAGGAAUAUGAUCAAAAAAUUUCAAAAAAUUAUUACUGUUGACAGCAUGCAUGGCUUGAAUUCAUAUGACUUUAAAUUGACCACUGUAAUGGUAAUAGAUGAAUUUCACCAUGGUUUUCCCGUUGCUGAAAUGUUUUCAAAUAGAAAGGAUACCACCAUUCAACAUCUCUAUUUUUCUCUUAUAAAGGAAACAGUAGGUGAAGUUUGUUCUGAAAUAUUCAUGUCAUAUAUGGACGGAACAUUUUUUAAUGCAUGGAUUAUGGUGAUGGGAGUAAAACCUGACCACUUGUUUUGCUCUUGGCAUGUAGACAGGGCAUGGCAAAGUAAUCUUACUAAGAUUGGUGAUAAGGAAAAGCGUGCUUCUGUUUAUAAACUGUUAAAAACUUUACAACAACACACAGUACUAGAUCAUUUUUCCUCAGCUUUAGCAAGUGCCAUUCAAAAUUUAUGCAGUGAUCCAAGCAUUAAAAAAUUUGGAGAGUAUUUUAAAAACACUACACUCAUAAUUAUAAAAAAUGGGCUUAUUGUUUUAGAGAACUUUCUUCCAUUAAUACGAAUAUGCAUUUAGAAUCAAUGCAUAGUCAUUAAAUAUUUUUACUUAGAGAGAAAAAAAACAGUGAAGCGUUUGGAUCAAGGGUUAAAUGUUGUCUUACAAUAUGUGAGGGAUAAGAGCAUUGAAAGGAUAAUAAGAUUGACUAAGGGAGAACAUACAAAAACUACAUCUAUAUUAUCUCGAAAUCAUUGGGAUUCAAUUAAAGAAAUGUGUCAAUAUUCCUUAUUAAAUUGUGCUAAUUAUUGGAAAAUUAAAAAAAAAAUUAAUACAUCCUCAUAUUGCACAUGUAAUCCAAAAGUGUCACUAUACGAAAAAUGUAAAUUUUUCAGGAGAGCAAAUUAAAGUUUUCGGCAAAAUGGAAAGACAAAUAACGGUGAUUAUAUUGAUAAUAAAUGAACGAUUUUUUUAUCACAGUGAACGAUGUUUUGGCUUUAACCAAUUUACUAAACAGAAAUGGAAAAUAAAUUCUUUUAUUUGUUUAUUUUUUAGUUUUUUGAUUUAUAGUGUCACUUUUUUAUUUAUUAUAUGCAAUAUUUUUAGAAUUCAGUCAAAAUUUUUCAAACCAUAAAAUUAAAAAAAAAAUUGAAAUAUGUAGAAAAGCAUAUUAUUAUAUUAAAUGAAACAUGAAACAUUUAUUUUUACACACAACUGCUUGAACAAAAAAUAAUGAAGGUAGGUACUUCUAAAAAAUAUUUUUUAUCUUAACUACUAACUUAACUUAAACCAACCAUCUAAAUGACCACUUAUGCACCGCGAACUUAACCAUAGCUUAAAAUUUAAACCAUCACUGUUAUUUUCCAUUCAAAUUCAUACAAAAUAGCUGUCGUUUACGUUUAAAUUUUAAACUACGGUUAAAUUUACACUGUGCCAAUAAAAGUUUACAUCACUGAUACAGAAAUGGCACUAAAGCCAAAUUAAUGGCUAUAAAAACAACUGCAAAAACAAAAAAUUAAUUCCUAAAACAAAAUAUUCAAAAACCUGGUAAAUAUAACAUAAACACAACUUUAAAUAUGGACAGCUUCUAUUAUGAAAAAACAAAAUAUUUUCGUUCGGUAAAUUAAAUAUAGUGGGUAAUUAUCAUUACAAAAUAUUAUUAUAAAAGGAGUGUACAUAGUAUUGAGGUAUUAAGGAAUUUUCAAAAAGACUUUUGAUGUCUUGUUUUUUUCGAUCAGACAAUUUUAAUCUUUCUGUGUAAAGUUUAUUUAAUUGAAAACUUUUGCGAUUUUGACGUGUUGAACGAGGCGCCCAACAACUAAGUUGCUUAAAAGUUUGGUCACUGUAUGAAGUUUUGUAAUAUAUUUCAAUUUGGGUUUGGCUAAACCCUCACUAAACAAAAAAUGUCACUAUUGCACAAGUCCUCGCCUACACGAUUAAUGUCACCACAGUUGCCCGCCACGAGUGUAUUAAUAUUGCGUAAGCCAUAAUGACACUUGCGCUAUCUAGAGGUCUCUAAUGUAAUUAUUCAAGAUAUUUUGUAUAGUGACACUUUUGGAUUACAUGUGCGAUAUUAUGAGGUUCGUCAAAAACUUGAUAAAAACUGUUGCCAAAUAACAAUUAUGUGCAAUUUGUAAAAUAUGUAACCAUUUGUAUUCAUGUACUUGUAAUAUUUUUGUAAAAAAACAGACUAUGUGUAAACAUAUUCAUAUUAUUAUUUCUAGCAUAAAUGCAAUGGAUAUUGAGGUAAAUGAGUAUGUCAAUUCAAAAUCGUCUAAUUCACCUGAAGAUAAGACUAAUCUUAUAUUAAGUCAUUUGAAGGAAAUUUCCCUUUCUUCCCUAAAAAUAACAGUCGAGGACACAAAUGAAAAAAUAAUUAAAAUAAAAGCUUUAACUGCUGAUUUAGGAAAUUCCACUUUUGAUGGACUUAAUGACUCGGUAAUAGAUCAAAUUCACCACUGUUUAAUUGUAGCUAAGAACUUAAAUAGAUUCCACGAGGAACCCUUAUUAAAUGAACAAUUUCAAGUAAAAAAUAAGCAGUUAAAAAGGGUUAUCGAACCCCAAUUAAGAUUUAGUUCCACCAAAAAGAAAAGGGUUGAAACAGCUACCAGCUUUAAAAGACCAACGACUCAAGAGGUUUUAGAUAUAAAAGAAAACCUAAAAUUUAAUAAUUCCUUUGAUCAUUUUAUUGCUAAAUCUGUAUCACCCUCACAUGAUCAUGAGUAUUUUUAAGUUUGUUAUGAAAUAAUUUCAGCCUAACAAUUAGACUUAUGUACUAUAUACAGGGUAAACUUGUGUAUCUGGGAUCUUGUUUGGAAAUAGUUUGCUGUGCGAUUUAGUAAUGUAGUGGUAGUAAAUGAUGUAGGUUUAGUUUUGUGAUGUUAUCAUUAGUUAGUUAGAUACAAUAAAACAUUUUAAUGUUAAAAAAAUUCCUACUAAAUGCUAAAUGUUUAAACCUUUUUUAUUUUAUUUAAAGAGUGUUCUACAAUAGAAUUAAUAUUUCAUUUUAUUUAUUAUAUUACAUUUUUUUAUAAAACAUACAAACAUGUGUAUUGUAAAUAAAAGAUAAAUAUUU
rnacentral:misc_RNA from 1 species